rnacentral:rRNA from 1 species
UACAGAGGUCUCGAGCGUUGUUCGGAUUCAUUGGGCGUAAAGGGUGCGUAGGUGGCUUGGUAAGUCGGAUGUGAAAUCCCGGGGCUCAACCCCGGAACUGCAUUCGAUACUGCCAGGCUAGAGUACUGGAGAGGAGAUUGGAAUUUACGGUGUAGCAGUGAAAUGCGUAGAUAUCGUAAGGAAGACCAGUGGCGAAGGCGGAUCUCUGGACAGUUACUGACACUGAGGCACGAAGGCCAGGGGAGCAAACGGG